CCCGGAGACGGGGUUUCCUUCCCUUGUGGGGCGUGGUUCACAGGUGGUGCAUGGUUGUCGUCAGCUCGUGUCGUGAGAUGUUGGGUUAAGUCCCGCAACGAGCGCAACCCUUGUCUCGUGUUGCCAGCACGUUGUGGUGGGGACGUCGCGGGAGACUGCCGGGGUCAACUCGGAGGAAGGUGGGGACGACGUCAAAUCAUCAUGCCCCUUAUGUCUUGGGCUUCACGCAUGCUACAAUGGCCGGUACAAUGGGUUGCGAUACUGUGAGGUGGAGCUAAUCCCAAAAAAGCCGGUCUCAGUUCGGAUUGGGGUCUGCAACUCGACCCCAUGAAGUCGGAGUCGCUAGUAAUCGCAGAUCAGCAACGCUGCGGUGAAUACGUUCCCGGGCCUUGUACACUCCGCCGUCGACGCGGCCG
rnacentral:rRNA from 1 species